rnacentral:lncRNA from 1 species
GAUUCGCUAAAGAUCCGAAAAAAAGAGCUGACCGACCAGCUCAUUUGUCGCUAAUCUUAAAAACAAUUUGCUAAAGAUCCAAAAAACAAUUACGCACCACUGCCAUCCAUAAGUGGUACAAAACGAUUCGCUAAAGAUCUGGAACAAAAAAGAGCUGGCCGACCCGACCAUUGUUCCCCAAUCUGGAAAACUAUUUGAUUAAGAAAAAAUUACCCAACCCUACCCUUCUUCACCCAAUCCAGAUGACCUGCAGUUAUAAAGAAAAUCCGGACGGCCUGGCCUUCCCGUGCGCUGCCGAUGUCUCCCACCACAUAAAGGAACCCACUGCUACCGCUUCCUACUAGGCCAUUCACCGGUGUCAAGGUAUCCCGUCGCUAUCGGCUCACACGUGCCCAUCGACCAUAUCAAGGGCCUCACGCGCCGCGCUUCCCUAGACUCUGAGCGCUGCUGCCUCCAGCCACCUGCGAUUCUCCACCAGACCACCCUGUCGCCACUGAUCCAUUGUGCCUCCACUGAAAUAACUACAUAUAUCAGAGCUGCUUGAGGCCUCAGCCCACACCGCCUAAAAAACCACAAAUGACAAACACCGAAGUCCUAAUUAUUGAAAAAUUUACAUCAUAAACUGCAGUGAGAUCCCAGGCGGAUCCACGGUCGGAGCGGAUACGAGUGGGGGGGUGGAGGGUUCAAAUAUUACCGGUUGGGCGAACUCAAUCAGGAUGAACGCACUCUUGAUAUUGGACCCGCGGAGCGCCUUGAGGGCGGUCCGACACUCGGCGAUGGAGCGGAAAAUGAUGAAGG